ACCAGGCUGAAUGUAUUAACCUAAUUUACAUUUAGACAAAAUGGAAANNUCAUUUUAUUGACUUUAGCAACUUCAAGCUUCUUAACUUCAAACACCCUUUGUUCAGAUGAAUUAAUGAUGCCCCAUUUUCACAGCAAAGAAGGUUAUGGAAAAUAUUACCAGCUGAGAGGAAUCCCAAAAGGGGUAAAGGAAAGAAGUGUCACUUUUCAAGAACUCAAAGAUUGGGGGGCAAAGAAAGAUAUUAAGAUGAGUCCAGCCCCUGCCAACAAAGUGCCCCACUCAGCAGCCAACCUUCCCCUGAGGUUUGGGAGGAACAUAGAAGACAGAAGAAGCCCCAGGGCACGGGCCAACAUGGAGGCAGGGACCAUGAGCCAUUUUCCCAGCCUGCCCCAAAGGUUUGGGAGAACAACAGCCAGAUGCAUCACCAAGACACUGGCUGGUUUGCCCCAGAAAUCCCUGCACUCCCUGGCCUCCAGUGAAUUGCUCUAUGCCAUGACCCGCCAGCAUCAAGAAAUUCAGAGUCCUGGUCAAGAGCAACCUAGGAAACGGGUGUUCACGGAAACAGAUGAUGCAGAAAGGAAACAAGAAAAAAUAGGAAACCUCCAGCCAGUCCUUCAAGGGGCUAUGAAGCUGUGA
rnacentral:lncRNA from 1 species